rnacentral:rRNA from 1 species
UACGUAGGGGGCUAGCGUUGUCCGGAAUCAUUGGGCGUAAAGAGCGUGUAGGCGGCUCGGUAAGUCCGCUCUGAAAGCCCGGGGCUCAACCCCGGGAGGCGGGCGGAUACUGUCGAGCUAGAGUCCGGAAGAGGCGAGUGGAAUUCCUGGUGUAGCGGUGAAAUGCGCAGAUAUCAGGAAGAACACCCGUGGCUAAGGCGGCUCUCUAGUACGGUACUGACGCUGAGACGCGAAAGCGUGGGGAGCGAACAGG